CAAUCGCCAACUGUGGUCCUCAUCUCUAAUGCAAGCUAGACACUCUUAUGCAUCUUCAGACAGUUUGACCAGUCCGACAACUGCCUCCCCAUCAAACAAUACUUCUGCAGUUCAGUCUUUUGCCUCAUCAUUUGGAUGUGAAGUGUUCUCCAUUCAUACUCCAGCCUUGUCCUACCAAAUCUCACCUAACACCACCAUUUCAGCAAGCGGUUCUUCUAAUCAACUACCAGUAUGUCCUUCCUACAGUCAGCCUUCUACCUUACCAUUUGGAGGAACAACUUCAGUUGAUCCAACCCUGGUCCUGACUUGGCCAAACAGUACAAGUUCACCCAAAGUAGCACUUCAGCAAGUCAUUCCUCUGAGUUACCCUCUACCUCAACACACCAUCAAGCAACAAACUAUGAUAACUACCUUUCAGUAAUGUCUGUACUGUCUGAUCUUUCCUCUGAUGAGGAGGAACUGAACCAGGCUAUACUAGCAAGCUUGCAUAGUGAAAGGACCACAGGAUGUUGGAUGCCAGCAAGAGAUAUCUUGCAACAAAAAUAACCCAACAGAAGAGAUGCAAGUUUAACAUUAACCGAUCAACAGUCUUGGAUGGAGCCAUCAGAGGUUUUAAACGAGCGACAUAUGAUCCAUACCACACUAUUUCUGUCAGAUUUUCUGAUGAUAUGGGAGUACCUGAAGAGGCUGUGGACUUGGGUGGACCAAAAAGGGAAUUUCUAACACUGCUUAUGGAAGCUUUGCCCAGAUCUCAAAUGUUUGAGGGAGAAGAAGGCAAAAUGAACUUGUCCUUUGACAGUACUGCCAUGAGAGAGGACCGGUACUUCAAUGCAGGCAGGGCCAUCGCAGUAAGCCUUGUACACAGUGGACCUCCCGCAGGCUUUUUGUCCCCAACCCUCUUCUCUUGCCUUGUUGACAGCCCAGAAUUGGCAAAGCCAGUAUUAGCAGAUGUUGCAGAUAGUGACCUACGUGACAAAAU